AAUCAAUGGGGACGAUGAAGCUAGCAGGAAAAGAACUCCUUUUUCUCAGUCCCUACAAUGGAUUUGACUACAGAUAAUGGUAGGGCAGAAAUCACUAAGCAACACCCAUUUAAAAACAGAAAAAUUUAAAAAUCCCGUCCAAUAAACAUUUUUUGGGGUCAUUUCCAAAAAAAGAUAAUUGCCACUUUGUUCUUUUUUUCUUUACAUGGCAAGAUACCAGCCAGGACCCAGGAUGGCGGUACCCAGCUAGGCUUUGCGAAUGUCAGAUGCUUUGUAUGAGACCAGUUGCAUUCUCUGAACCAACUCCUGCCACUGAAGAAUCCAGAGAUGUAAAGAUCCAGAAUCUUGGAAGCUCUCCACCUGCCUCAUCACAGGCAAACCAGGUAUUGCUAACUUGCCUUUGAACAAACAUAGUAAAUUUUCUUGGAGUCUAGGAGUACCAGACAUUUGAAAAUUAUUUUUUAAGUUACUUAAAAAUUGAUCAUUUAAUGCAACCAGAUGCCAUUUUGCUUUAAAAUAAUGUUUUUUAUUUUUUUCUUUUAUUCUUUUUUUUUUUUGUUAAUCAAUGAGAGCUUGUUAUGUUGCUCAGGUUGGCCUUGAACUCAUGGCCUCGCCUCCUCAAGCACCAGGAAAAUUGGCCGGAGCCACC
rnacentral:lncRNA from 1 species